rnacentral:rRNA from 1 species
UACAGAGGUCUCAAGCGUUGUUCGGAUUCAUUGGGCGUAAAGGGAGCGUAGGUGGCCUUAUAAGUCAGUGGUGAAAUCUCUGGGCUUAACCCAGAAAUUGCCAUUGAUACUGUAGGGCUUGAGUAUAGUUGCCGUUGGCGGAAUAUGACAUGUAGUGGUGAAAUACAUAGAGAUGUCAUAGAACACCGAUUGCGAAGGCAGCUGACGAAACUAUAACUGACACUGAGGCUCGAAAGUGCGGGGAUCAAACAGG